rnacentral:rRNA from 1 species
CUCGUAGGCGGCUCGUCGCGUCGACCGUGAAAACCCGCAGCUUAACUGCGGGCUUGCGGUUGAUACGGGCGGGCUAGAGUUCGGUAGGGGAGACUGGAAUUCCUGGUGUAGCGGUGAAAUGCGCAGAUAUCAGGAGGAACACCGGUGGCGAAGGCGGGUCUCUGGGCCGAUACUGACGCUGAGGAGCGAAAGCGUGGGGAGCGAACAGGAUUAGAUACCCUGGUAGUCCACGCUGUAAACGUUGGGCGCUAGGUGUGGGGGGCCUCUCCGGUUCUCUGUGCCGCAGCUAACGCAUUAAGCGCCCCGCCUGGGGAGUACGGCCGCAAGGCUAAA